GACGAACGCUGGCGGCGUGCCUAAUACAUGCAAGUAGGACGCAGUUGCGAACGGGUGAGUAACGCGUAGGUAACUACCUCGUAGAGGGGGAUAACUAUUGGAAACGAUAGCUAAUACCGCAUACUAGUAGAUGGACCUGCGUUGUAUUAGCUAGUAGGUAGGGUAAUGGCCUAACUAGGCAACGAUACAUAGCCGACCCGAGAGGGUGAGCGGCGAAACUGGGACGUAUAAACGGCCCAGACUCCGACGGGAGGCAGCAGUAGGGGAUCAUCGGGAAUGGGGGGAACCCUGACCGAGCAUCGCCGCGGGAGUGAAGAAGGUUUUCGGAGCGUAAAGCUCUGUUGUUAAGGAAGCGGUACUUAACCAGAAAGGGACGGCUAACUACGUGCCAGCAGCCGCGGUAAUUC
rnacentral:rRNA from 1 species